rnacentral:rRNA from 1 species
CUACGGGACGCACCAGUGAGGAAUUUUGCGCAAUGGGGGAAACCCUGACGCAGCAACGCCGCGUGAGUGAAGAAGGCCCUUGGGUCGUAAAGCUCUGUCAAUGGGGAAGAAGUUAUUAUGUGUUAAUAGCACAUUUUAUUGACGGUACCCAUGAAGGAAGCACCGGCUAACUCCGUGCCAGCAGCCGCGGUAAUACGGGGGGUGCAAGCGUUAUUCGGAAUUAUUGGGCGUAAAGGGCACGCAGGCGGUCCUGUCAGUCAGAUGUGAAAGCCCGGGGCUCAACCCCGGACGUGCAUUUGAAACAGCAGGACUUGAGUACGGGAGAGGAAAGGGGAAUUCCUGGUGUAGAGGUGAAAUUCGUAGAUAUCAGGAGGAACACCGGUGGCGAAGGCGCCUUUCUGGACCGAUACUGACGCUGAGGUGCGAAGGCGUGGGUAGCGAACGGGAUUAGAUACCCUCGUAGUC